GUAUUGGUGGUUGAGUGGUAGAAUUCUCGCCUUCCGUGUGGGAAACCUGGGUUCAAUUCGCGGCCAAUACG
rnacentral:tRNA from 1 species